UACGUAGGGUGCAGGCGUUAAUCGGAAUUACUGGGCGUAAAGCAUGCGCAGGCGGUUUCUUAAGUCAGAUGUGAAAGCCCCGGGCUUAACCUGGGAACUGCGUUUGAAACUGGGAGACUUGAGUGUGGCAGAGGGGGGUGGAAUUCCACGUGUAGCAGUGAAAUGCGUAGAUAUGUGGAGGAACACCGAUGGCGAAGGCAGCCCCCUGGGUUAACACUGACGCUCAUGCACGAAAGCGUGGGGAGCAAACAGG
rnacentral:rRNA from 1 species